UUAUCACAUUAAAAUAUAUUGAAUGAAAUGCUAAAUGCUAAAAUACUAUAAGUAUGAUAGAUCUGAACAUGAUAUAUUACAAACUGCUUGCGUGGUGUCACGAUAUCAGCUUCGGAAGCUGUGAAGGUCUCCUUAUCUGCUACCUAAGGAAAACUCUUCAUUAAGGAUUUGAUUAGCAGGGAGCAGCAGCAUCAGCAGGUGUCAGACAACUUAACCACACAGUACAUCACCACCGUCAGAGGACAUUGUACCCUGCGCCUAUGGAGUACGUGAGUAUUUCCACGAAGCCAUCAUGUUGGUGAUUCUCAACGAAGGGUAAUUAUAUUUCUUGAUAAAAAAAAAAAAAAGAAAGAAAAAGACAUGCAUAAUUGCUCUACUUGAUAACUGAUUGGCGGUGUGGAGCAAUGGCAUCCUCUGUAGAUUACUAUUUCCACACUGUUCUGAAUACAUACAUAAAUAUAAGAGGGUAAAUAUGUUUGGGUAGAACCUAAAUAGUGUGUUUUCUUAUCAUUUUAUUUUCUUUGCCUUUAUGUUUAUGCAUCUUUUGUAUGGGGUAAUGGGAUAAAUGAAACACAUCAGGCCGAGGGAAUAAAGGAUAGGGGAGAGACUGAGAACUCAUGUAAGUGUUGUGAGGUGGUGUCAGAGUAGCGAUGAAUAUCUGGUGAUGAGGAUACAGCAUACAAUCUUGAUCAGGUUUCAUUUUUUUUUAUGAACAUAACAUGUAACCUUUUUGCCAUAAAUGUAGGAGAAUUGUAGGUAUGCUCUGGUGAAGAGAAGAAUUACUGUGGCUGAUACUAAUAUUGAGAAAGAUCGUGCAGUCUGCACCAUGCAGUCUUAUAACACACACACACACAAAAAAAAAUACUGAAAAUUGGAGACUGCGAGGGAAAAUCCACUACGAGAUUAAUAAAACUAGCUCAGAGUGGGAAAUGUUUUGCCUGUUGAUGCACUGUCCAUCUCGAAUCCGACUACUGUCCAUGAUACUAUGUUAUCGAGGGGAGAAGUCCUUCAUGAAGUCUGUGCAAAUGUAAUGAGUAGUCCUCUUAUGUUCCGAUUAUGUCCCACAUCUUUAGUGAAGAUUGAUAAAAUCUGUCAGACCUGCAAGGCGUCAGUCGUGACCUGCAGUAUCAUGACAGUAGUGGCAAAGAUAAUAAAACUGUAGAUAAUAAUGCUGCCGGGUCUCGUUACCAUAACGAUGAUGGUGAUGAUGACUGUAAUGAUACUAAAAAAAAGUGCUAAUACAAUGCUGAUGACUAUUUUCAUGUCCUGUGGCACAAGUGUGUAGGCCUGCACAGGUAAUAUAAUGUAGACAGCAGAUUUCGUGAUGUGUACAUGUACCGUGAAGCUGACGAGCAAGUGUUUGCCUCGUGACGCCAAAAUGAUUCGCGACGUGACGACGUGACGGACAAAUGGAGCAGAAACAUAAGAAUCAUAUCAAUGUGGCAUGUAGUCGCUUAAAAUGUUCCUUGAUUUCUUUCGUCAUUUUGUUUCGGAUGUAAUUUAUUUGUAAAACAUAAACUUAAGACCACCGAAAGAGGUACAAUUCAUAAGUGUAUUUAUAAACCUACGCUAAAUGCUCAGUACCAUAAAGAGGGAGGCAGAGAGACUGUAGAGACAAUGCUCUUCCGAGAAAGCAGUGCUGAGUGAUGAAUGUCCACCUUAAGCGCUGCUGUAUCUGAGAGUAUGUAAUAAUACUUGUUUUCCUAAUAUUACACUAAAUGCAUACAGUGUAUGCUUAUUGUACUUAUGUUUAAGCUUAAUGUUUUAAGAUAAAUUUACGUGACGUAUAUAAAGUAAAGAUUAAGUUUAUUUCAAAAAUAAAUUAUUAUCAAGUGUGUAAAAAUGAGUUCACUGCUCAACUGAGUUAAUCAUUUACGCUGAUGCUUGCUAAUGUAUUAAGUACCUAUAAUAUGUUUAUAAUAUGUCAAUAUUUUGGUGACAUGUUAGUAUCUGUAUAUGUGUUAAAUUAUCUAUAUCAUUUAUCAGUGCAAUAUUGAGUUAAUGAUUUCAUUAUAUAAAACUCUAGACAUUAAUUUGCUUCAAUAUAUGUAUUAAUGAUCUGAUGCUUGAUUUUUUUUUAUAUGUGUUAAGUAUAUAACUUGAUAUUUAAAGUUAUAAUGAUUAAUGAUUUAUGACUUGUCAAAACGUUUUAAGUAGUUUUCAGUAUUAUUUUUAUUCUGAUUCAGUGUCUGAUAUUUACUCCAUGGAUUAAAGUCAACAUACUUUCUUGUUGAUUGUAAAUCCCUUUAUAGUAUUUGCUUAUUUUACAGGUAUUCUUAAAGGUAUUGCCAUUCGUCAUCUUGAUUUAAUAAGCAGCAAUAGAAAUAAGAUAAGCAGCUAAGUGUGAUCCUUGGUGAAGUAGGGCUCCGACACUUCCAAGGGGACAGAGAGCAGGGCAGGAGGCAGCCAGGACAAUAUAAGAAUCAUAUCUGCUCUGAACUCUUAACUUUUUGCUCUGGAGACAGAACCUGGAGCAGAAGAAUUUGUGCAUGCAAGGCUGUAGUUAUCGAGAUAUGUUCGUUGGGAACAAGAAAAUAACUGUAUUCACCUCUUGAGACAGGUGCCUGUGCUUCAGGCGGGCAAGGGGCUGCGCCUCUGCUACAUACGAGUGUAGUUCAUAGACCAGAGCAUUGGCAUCUUGCGAAAGUUACAGGGAAGGAGGAUAUGAACACAUGGUUUGAUAUUUUCCUGACCUUGUUCCAAACAGAUGGAGUGUAGCUAGUUAGUUGUCCCUCACCAUAUCCAGCCACACUAGUUGCUGAAAGGAAUGAGGAACCUUACACCUUACACCUCAUUAGCCUACUUUCUGGAA